GUGACUUUGGGGAAUUUAAUGUAAUAAUAUGACCGCAUCCCUUCUAAGGAGGUGGUCGAAGGUUCGAAUCCUUCAGGGCGUACCA
rnacentral:tRNA from 1 species